ensembl:snoRNA
GCAUGGGUUUGGAUUUAUGGCAGGCCCAUCACCCUGGACCUCUCAUAAGUGUCCCAUGCUAGAGCAACCUGUGACUCCGAACCAUUCCCUGGCCUCUGUGCCUGUAGGCUAUCGGCACUGAAGUGGGUCUCACAGUC